CAUGGCUGCUACUCUGAAAUCUGUCUCCAGAGCUGCCCAGCUUCCUGCUGUACCCACUAGACCCUGCUGCUUCCUUCCUCUUCCAAAGGAACUUGAUGAAAAGAGAAUUAAUACACCCGACUGGGAAAUGACAGAACAUGGCUGACCCCUGCGGCUCUGAUUUGUUCCAGCAUCGCUCGGCUGUUAGCACCUGCCAUCCUCCUGAACUUACAAAGAUGCUCUUCACACUCCUUGAGGCGGCAGCUUCUCUGGGUAACCGGCACUGAAACCAUCUCGGCGAGGGGACAGCUUCAUUAGUACAAAGAGCAACAAGGUUCUGGCUGGAUUGUUCCAGUCAUCAGGUCUCCGAAGGGCUGCUACGUGAUAUUGGAUAACGCGGGGUAAAGGCAAGGGGCACCGGUUUGUUGGCUCCCACGUCCCAGCGAUGGGAUCCCUUUGAGAUGAUCCCAGGAGGCUGCAGUGGUUCGGUUCCUAGAGCAUGUAUUACGACAUAACUACACUAGUCCAGGUUAAUUGACUCCUGAUCACACUACAGGGCUAAAUAGAACAGUGUAGCUAGCCCCUGUGGUCGUGGAGAAACGGCUGGAAAACACAAGCCCCAAGUUUAUUAUUGUUUAAAACCUCAUGAUUUUAAAAGCCAAUCUCAUGAGUUCUGACGACUGACUCAGGAUUUUGUAAUGCUUGGGGUUGCCACUAUUGGGAGGUGUUUAAACCUCCCCACAUAAAGCCCUGGUUUGGGUUCACAAUUAGGAGAACCUUUUUUUACUCGUGCUAGCUUUUCUCUCUUUUUGAUUGAAUUUGGGACCUAAAGUGACAGCGCUUCUGAGCGUCCCUUUUGACAGCUGAUAGGGGUACAAACCUCCCACCCAGUCUCCUUGUUGCUGAUCCAUUCAGAGUUAGGAUGGAUUGUUAUGCAGAGUGACAACGGUCUGGUUUCAGAGAAUACAACCCCUAAUCUUCACGCUUAUGUAGCUCAGCUGAGGGCUGGGGCCAGGAAAGCAGAGAUUUCUUUGUACGGGCACAGCUGCCAAAGAGAAAUAGACAGAUCCACCCAUAUCAGCAGAUUAGACCCUGGGCAUGUGGAGGAAGGGCUAGAAUCUGCUAGCCUGGGGAUUUUCCAGGUUGGAACAUCAUUUCUCCUGUGACUCUUCCUGCCCGUGGCUGCCCUUUACCUGUAAAGGCUGUGAAAGCUUCAGGGCAGGGACUGGCUCUCACUAUGUGAUUGUACACGCUGCAGAGGAAGGCAAAACCCCCCCAGGGCCUCUGCCAAUCUACCCUGGAGGAAAAUUCCUUCCUGACCCCAAAUAUGGCGAUCAGCUAAACCCUGAGCAUGUGGGCAAGACUUACCAGCAAGACACCCAGGAAAGAAUUCUCUGCAGUAACUCAUAUCCCGCCCCAUCUAACAUCCCAUCACAGGCCGUUGGGCAUAUCUACCGCUAAGAGUUGAAGAUCAAUUAAUUGCCAAAAUUAGGCUAUCCCAUCCUAUCAUCCCCUCCAUAAACUUAUCAAGCUUAGUCUUGAAGCCAGAUAUGUCUUUUGCCCCCCAGUGCUUCCCUUGGAAGGCUGUUCCAGAACUUCACUCCUCUGAUGGUUAGAAACCUUCGUCUAAUUUGAAGUCUAAACUUCCUGAGGCUGGAAUGUAUGACAGGAUUCCCCACAGACAUAGGUUUAUUUGAUUUAUGACAUUGUCGGCACUGGGGUAGGGGAAAACAUUAUUCGGAUACUCCCCAGCCUCCCAGAGGUGUCCCCAAUCCACCUGUGAAUUUCAAUUGCAUAUCCCCAUUAAACAACACACACACACACGCUGAUAUUUUUAGCUCAGCUACUCAGCGGGAGUUGCAUGGGAAGCAUAUGUUUCCCGCUUAUUGCUGCACUUGCCGGCUGAACCUUUCAACCCUGCCUUUGCCAGAGGACACAGCACCAGCAGGGAACUGACCUGGGAGGUAAAGCAUCACGCCACUUCAACAGGUGAACAAGAGGAAACGCUAAAGGAAAGCCCAAAGGACAGCAAAGCAUUUCCAGGGCAAACGGCCACCAUCCCUGGCAUGCCAAUAGCUGCAGACUGACAGGGCUGAAUUAAAGGAACAGCUGAUUGUUUUUUAAGAAGUCUGGGAAAGAAUACCGUUCUUGGAUGUGCCUCAGUAUGUUAUAGCUAUACACAGGCUAUAGGAUAGAGUGACCAAUAGCAAGGGUAGAGCAGGCACUUCCAUUUACCCUCUCAUUACACAAGGACAAGAGGACAUUUGAUGGAGUUGAAAGGGAGCAAAUCUAAAAAUAGAAGAGGAAGAAAUAUUUUUCCACAUAAUGCGCAAAUAGCCUGGGGAACUCAUUGCCACAAGAUCUCAUUGAACUAUGCCGGAUUCUAAAUAGGGCUGGACAUUUAUAUGGAUAAUAAGAACUUUCACAGUUCCGGUAGUGAGGAUUAAGACACGAAACCAAGUGUUUUGGAAGGGAUCUAAACUGCUAUACUUCAGUGCACAAGAUCCACAGUUUGAGGAUCCACUGGUCUGGAGCCUGCUGGUUCUGUGACAGCUACUGUGUCCACGCUGCCAUGGGACAGUUCCAUUGGCACAGGGAACAGCAGCCUUAGGAGUCCGAUAGACUCAGGAUUCCCUAGAUGCCCUGAUUGGCAGUUCCUACUGAGUUCCCAGUUGGCUCAGGCAUGCUAUUUAAGGCCUGGGGGUGAACACCUGGAGGCCAUCUGUGCAGCUAGGUGGAUCCCUGACUCACUGCUGUAAACAGACCCUGUUGCAUUCCUGAGACAUUGCCUGGGAUCCAACUCCCCUUGCCCUGCUCCUGGCCCUUCACCCUGCCUUUGCUCUACUACCCCAACCUCCGCUGACGCAUUUGGUUUCUGACUCGGCGUGGCUCAUCAACUACAGCUCCAACUUGUCCCUUCAGCAUGACACCAGCACAGACCGCGGCUUCUGGCCUCAACCCACAUCCCAUGGCUGGGAUCCUGACAGUCUCUAACUAAUGGGGGCUAGGACGAAGCUUCCCAUAGGGGCAAGUUAUCCCAGAACUGCCCGCUGCAGAGUUUCCUUGUACCUGCCUCUAAGGCAUCUGGGAUUCUGCAGCUGGCCACUGUGGGAGAUAAGCUACUAGACUAGCUGGACUUUGGGUCAGCCCCACUCUGACAAUUCCUGUGUUCCUAUGAAGAAUUAUUGUAACUAACAAACUCUGUUCCCUUUAGGAUAGAUGCGGAUCAUACAAACUCUCAUAGCCAAACUUUGGAGAAGUCCGGAAGCGGGAUUUUACAAUCUGCUGCUUUUCAGCGAUGCAACUUUUGAACAGAUUUUAGGCACUCCAAGAACAACCACCCUGGAAUAAAAAUGCAGUCCCAUAACCUCGAUGCUAGAAUCCUCGUAAAUGAACAGUUUACAGAUUAAGGGAAGACGCUGUUGUUAGAAAGACAGCCUGAAAUGACUUGAAAGGGAGUUAAAUCCUAUACUGAGUAAAAAUAUACUCGCAAGAGCAAUAUAAGUCUAUAGCUCUGGUACACCACCCUAGGCACCGGUGCAUCUUAGCACUGCGCAGGGAACAAGGGGAGACCUGGCCCCUGCUUAUGGAGUCACAGCCACAAUUAGUCACAGGUGCAAAAUUAGAUGGGGGAGGGGCAUUUAGCCUAAUUGAGAGUCUGGCUAGGACAAUAAACCUGCUCUUUACGGGGAUUAGGUGGCUCAGGAUAUCUGGAGUGAGGUACUGAGGCCUACUCUACACAAACGUGCACUGGUGUAAACUGAAGGAGUGAUUUUAAACGGUUUUAGUUAAGCCAGUGGAAAAACCCUGGGUACAUGAGAUGGCUGCCUGUGGGCUGAUAUAGCAGGAAUUGAACCAAGGAGCUCAAGCUAGCUGCUCCAACUUGAACUAAAGCCCCAAGCCUUGAAGGGUGGGGGCAGAA